AAUCGUUGCAAUGGGCUGACUUAAGUGUUCCACCGACGUCACGAAUCCUGUGGUUUCAUCUAUGUGUUAAGAGCUUGGAGAGCAAAAACAGAUGCUGGAGAUGACUUCAGCUCCUGUUGUCAUCAAGAUUGUCUGCUGCUUCCUUGUGUGGAAAGAGACCAAGAUGCCCUCGAGGUGCUUUCAGCAUCUUCCACCCUCAUGAG